rfam:Candidatus Lindowbacteria bacterium RIFCSPLOWO2_12_FTLL_62_27 rifcsplowo2_12_scaffold_49, whole genome shotgun sequence.
UAAUGGGUGAGAGUCCCAUCUCGGUAAUUGUCCAUUCGGCCGAGUAGUUAUAUCUGGCUCACAGGGAGGUAACGAACUGUGAGGAAGCCCAGAAGUAAAAGCGGGUAUUCACGCGUGAAGUUCCAGUCAUGAUACUA